GAUGAACGCUGGCGGCGUGCUUAACACAUGCAAGUCGAACGGGAAACAUUUAUUGAAGCUUCGGCAGAUCUAGCUUGUUUCUAGUGGCGGACGGGUGAGUAACGCGUGGGCAACCUGCCUCACACUGGGGGAUAACAGUCAGAAAUGGCUGCUAAUACCGCAUAAGCGCACAGCAUCGCAUGAUGCAGUGUGAAAAACUCCGGUGGUGUGAGAUGGACCCGCGUUGGAUUAGCUAGUUGGCAGGGUAGCGGCCUACCAAGGCGACGAUCCAUAGCCGGCCUGAGAGGGUGAACGGCCACAUUGGGACUGAGACACGGCCCAG
rnacentral:rRNA from 1 species